UUGUUUAAUUUUUGUUUAAUUUUUUAAGAUUUGACACAUUUUCAAUAUGGUUUGUGAAUAAAAUCCUUGGCGAGUACUGACCAGAAAUUCAUGAUGAAAUCCCGGCGGUCGUAAAGACGGACUCGCCAAAGCAACAUAAAGUUUAUUUAACAUAGGGUUGGAGAGCAGGGCCAAAUUAAUGAACCCCAGAACUCGAUAAUGAUCCUUCCGCAGGUUCACCUACGGAAA
rnacentral:misc_RNA from 1 species